UUCCGGUUGAUCCCGCCGGAGGCGACCGCUAUUGGAGUUCGAUUAAGACAUGCGAGUCGAGAGCUUUCGGAGCUCGGCAUACUGCUCAGUAACACGUGGGUAACCUGCCCUGUGCUGGGGGAUAACCUCGGGAAACUGAGAACAAUACCCCAUAGUCCACUACGCCUGGAACGGUGAGUGGAUGAAAGCCCCGGCGGCACAGGAUGGGCCUGCGGCGUAUCAGGUAGUAGGGGGUGUAAAGUACCCUCUAGCCUUCGACGCGUACGGGUUGUGAGAGCAAUAGCCCGGAGAUGGAUUCUGAGACAAGAAUCCAGGUCCUACGGGACGCAGCAGUCGCGAAACCUUGACAAUGCGGGAAACCGUGAUCAGGGGACUCCAAGUGCCAGGAGUAAGAUCCUGUGCUUUUCUUUUCUCUUCAAAGGAUUUGGAAUAAGAGGUGGGUAAGGACGGUGCCAGCCGCCGCGGUAAUACCGGCGCCUCGAGUGGUAGUCGAUUUUAUUGGGCCUAAAACGUCCGUCGCCGGUCUGGUGCAUUCGUGGGUAAAUCAACCCGCUCAACGGGUUGAAUUCUGCGAGCACGGCCAGACUAGGGACCGGGAGAGGUGUGGGGUACGCUCGGGGUAGGGGUAAAAUCCUGUCAUCCCGAGCGGACCACCUGUUGCGAAGGCUCCACACUAGAACGGAUCCGACGGUCAGGGACGAAGCCUAGGGGCACGAACCGGAUUAGAUACCCGGGUAGUCCUAGGUGUAAACGCUGUGGACUUGGUGUUGGGAGCUCCCAGAGGGCUCUCAGUGCCGUAGCGAAGGUGAUAAGUCCACUGCCUGGGGAGUACGGUCGCAAGGCUGAAACUUAAAGGAAUUGGCGGGGGAACACCGCAACCUGAGGAUUGUGCGGUUUAAUUGGAUUCAACGCCGGG
rnacentral:rRNA from 1 species